AGCAGCCGCGGUAAUUCCAGCUCCAAUAGCGUAUAUUAAAGUUGCUGCAGUUAAAAAGCUCGUAGUUGAAUUUCGGGACCAUCAUGUCGGUCGUGCCUCGGUACGUACUGGCAUUGUUGGUUUCUACCUUCUGACGAACCAUGAUGUCAUUUAUUUGGUGUCGUGGGAAAUCAGGACUGUUACUUUGAAAAAAUUAGAGUGUUUAAAGCAGGCUCACGCUUGAAUACAUUAGCAUGGAAUAAUGAAAUAGGACGUUUGAUUCUAUUUUGUUGGUUUCUAGGAUCGACGUAAUGAUUAAUAGGGAUAGUUGGGGGCAUUAGUAUUCAAUUGUCAGAGGUGAAAUUCUUGGAUUUAUUGAAGACUAACUACUGCGAAAGCAUUUGCCAAGGAUGUUUUCAUUAAUCAAGAACGAAAGUUAGGGGAUCGAAGACGAUCAGAUACCGUCGUAGUCUUAACCAUAAACUAUGCCGACUAGGGAUCGGAUGAUGUUAAUUUUUUAAUGACUCAUUCGGCGCCUUAU
rnacentral:misc_RNA from 1 species